AGAGCCACGGCCGAGUCUGUAUGGCCCCUGGCAUUUUGCCAACAGUAUUGAUUGACAGGCGAGGCAUUACUAUCCGCCUCUGCCGCAACUUUUGAGUUCUCGCACUAUUUUGGAGUUCUCAUGGGGAUUUCCGGGGAUUCCCCGAGAGUUCCCAUUGGUUGGGGAAGUGCAGGAGGAGGGAUUUCCGGGAGAGAUAUUUCCGGCUGGGGGUUCCUGGACAAGCCUCCUGGCGCGUUCGGGAGGAUUCCCCGGGAGCUGUGUGAAGUGUUUUCCUGCAGUUUAAAAAUAAAGUUUGUUCCUGCUUCAGUGGCUCGUGAUUUGUGCCCAGCCAGACUGCGGCAUUUGGCGGCCCGUUCGGGGAACGUCUGAAGCUUCGGGGGAGAACAGCAGCCGAUUUGGAUUCCAGAGAGAUUAACUAAAACAAUUUCUACAGGCCAAAAGGAAGAUGAUUUGACUCAAAUCCAUAACAGCUGAUAUCCAGAACUCCAGUUUGGCUAUUCUUACAUCUGCGACGGUGAUUAACCAGGAUGUUUUUUUCAAUAUUUAUUUUAUUAUUUGCCUUUUCCCACAUCAUAAAGUUCUAUUUUAUUUUUGAGCUCAUACAGACCUAGGAUAAUGUUUUUCUGAUCAGUUUUAUUUUUUGACUGUGGAGUUUUUAAGCAUUGCAAUGGAGAUUUCACCUAGGUAAAGCUACAAGGCCUUUACUAUUGUCUUAUGUGUUGUAUGUUAUGUGUGCACACUUCUGUUUUGUGUUGUAUGUCUGUAUGUGUGUAUGUCCAUAUAUCAUAUAUGAGGAGCGCUCAUGAAUAAAUGGAUCCAAAUUUUUUUUA